GUGGAGAAACAAGUUAGUGGGCGGUUGUUUACUUUACCAUAAAAAUGUCUUAACUUUAUUUUAACGAUCUUUAAAAUUUGCAUAAAUAGAGUAGAUAUUUUAUCAUUGCUAUUGAGAAAUAGGUACUGCAUAAAUAGAACUUGUUUUUAGUUGAGUAUGGAACAAAACAAAUAUUUUUAUGAAAACUGUUGUUGCUUUUCAAAAGGAAAUUGUGGAUCAUUCAAAAAACAUAAAAUUAUAAACAAAAUGUUCUACAUUCAUCAGCUGGGAGAUGUUGAUGUUAAGAAACACCUCAUCAACUUAAAGGUCAUGCGAUUAAACGAUAAUAAUAUUUGGGAAGAAAAUGGACUUAUUGCAAAUAGACUUAAAAGAAAUCUU